GGUUGUGGCUCAGCGGUGGAGCGCUCGCCUAGCACAUGCAGGCCCUGGGUUCGAUCCUCAGCACCA
rnacentral:tRNA from 1 species